rnacentral:lncRNA from 1 species
UAAGCUUGUCCGAAUGAGUCUUUAUAUUUCUCGCUUCCCAAAUCUUGUAGAAGGUAACAGCAAAAGUAAGAUAAAGGAUAAGCUUUGAGAGUUUCCUACCUUGGAAGGAGAUGAUGAACGAAGAGACACCAGUCCAGUCCAUGGGUACGUUAGACCAUUCACCCAAUUCAAGAGUUUUCUGCAGAAUGGAGGAGGAGUAUGGGCAUUCAAAGAAUAGAUGGUCAAAACUUUCAUCAUGUCGCUGACAGAGAAGGCAGGAGGAAGUUCUGCCAGACAAGUAGUGCCUAGUGAUAUCAUUAGUAGGAAGUUUUCUAAGAAAUCCCAACCACAAGAAUAAAGGAGAACCGGGGG